rnacentral:tRNA from 1 species
GCUCGGAUGGUGGAAUUGGUAGACACGCAGGUCUCAGAAGCCUGUGGGUAAAACCGUGAGAGUUCGAGUCUCUCUCCGAGCACCA